ensembl:ncRNA D1065.8 ncRNA
GCACUACAACGACGGACAAAGCAACAACAGCCAAGGAGGAGCUGGCAAAAGGAAUUCGAAGAUCCUCACAUCGACGUCGACGUUCCUGCUCUUCCACCGGCUGCUGUAAUAAUUUUUUAUUUUUUGUAAUUAUAGUUUGUAUUUAUUGUAUAUUGUCUUUAUUGCAUAGAAUAUAAUUUUUUUUUAUUUCAAUG